AGCAGUCGCCACGGGAAUACGUAGGUGGCAAGCGUUGUCCGGAAUUAUUGGGCGUAAAGCGCGCGCAGGCGGAUCAGUUAGUCUGUCUUAAAAGUUCGGGGCUUAACCCCGUGAUGGGAUGGAAACUGCUGAUCUAGAGUAUCGGAGAGGAAAGUGGAAUUCCUAGUGUAGCGGUGAAAUGCGUAGAUAUUAGGAAGAACACCAGUGGCGAAGGCGACUUUCUGGACGAAAACUGACGCUGAGGCGCGAAAGCCAGGGGAGCGAACGGGAUUAGAUACCCCCGUAGUCCCUGUCUCUUAUACC
rnacentral:rRNA from 1 species